AGUGAACGCUGGCGGUAGGCCUAACACAUGCAAGUCGAACGGCAGCACAGUAAGAGCUUGCUCUUACGGGUGGCGAGUGGCGGACGGGUGAGGAAUACAUCGGAAUCUACUUUUUCGUGGGGGAUAACGUAGGGAAACUUACGCUAAUACCGCAUACGACCUACGGGUGAAAGCAGGGGAUUUUCGGACCUUGCGCGAUUGAAUGAGCCGAUGUCGGAUUAGCUAGUUGGCGGGGUAAAGGCCCACCAAGGCGACGAUCCGUAGCUGGUCUGAGAGGAUGAUCAGCCACACUGGAACUGAGACACGGUCCAGACUCCUACGGGAGGCAGCAGUGGGGAAUAUUGGACAAAGGGCGUAAGCCUGAUCCAGCCAUACCGCGUGGGUGAAGAAGGCCUUCGGGUUGUAAAGCCCUUUUGUUGGGAAAGAAAAGCAGCAGGUUAAUACCCCGCUGUUCUGACGGUACCCAAAGAAUAAGCACCGGCUAACUUCGUG
rnacentral:rRNA from 1 species